AGCGGCGGACGGGUGAGUAAAGAGGGGGUAACCUGCCUCAUACACAUGGAUAACAUACCGAAAGGUAUGCUAAUACGAGAUAAUAUAAGAGAUUCACAUGGAUUUCUUAUCAAAGCUGAGGCGGUAUAGGAUGGACCCGCGUCUGAUUAGCUAGUUGGUAAGGUAACGGCUUACCAAGGCGACGAUCAGUAGCCGACCUGAGAGGGUGAUCGGCCACAUUGGAACUGAGACACGGUCCAAACUCCUACGGGAGGCAGCAGUGGGGAAUAUUGCACAAUGGGCGAAAGCCUGAUGCAGCAACGCCGCGUGAGUGAUGAAGGCCUUCGGGUCGUAAAACUCUGUCCUCAAGGAAGAUAAUGACGGUACUUGAGGAGGAAGCCCCGGCUAACUACGUGCCAGCAGCCGCGGUAAUACGUAGGGGGCUAGCGUUAUCCGGAUUUACUGGGCGUAAAGGGUGCGUAGGUGGUCUCUUAAGUCAGGAGUGAAAGGCUACGGCUUAACCGUAGUAAGCUCUUGAAACUGGGAGACUUGAGUGCAGGAGAGGAAAGUGGAAUUCCUAGUGUAGCGGUGAAAUGCGUAGAUAUUAGGAGGAACACCAGUAGCGAAGGCGGCUUUCUGGACUGUAACUGACACUGAGGCACGAAAGCGUGGGGAGCAAACAGGAUUAGAUACCCUGGUAGUCACGCCGUAAACGAUGAGUACUAGGUGU
rnacentral:rRNA from 1 species